UCCCUGGUAGAUCCUACAGGAGUAGCACAUGCCAGUCUCAAAGGUUAAUCCACAGUGGUGGUGUGAAUGGCUGGAUGUGGGUUCAGCUUCUACAUAGAUAACUGGUUAUUGUAGAACUGAUCUACACCUGCGGCUGCUGUGACUCUGGUGAUUCUAGGUAACCUAGAUCAAUCACAUUUUCCCCCCACCCCUGCCAAGGCCCUGUCACUCUUAGGUGGCUGUUAUAGUGCCUGCUGAGGCGACUACUGUGACCAAGAAUCUUAGUAAUAGGGAAUCUCAAUUUGGUUCUGCAGAGAGAGCCUGAUAAAUUAAUAUCCUAUCUAAGGAACGCAGCAGGCGCACAAAUUACCCACUCCCAACCGUGGAAGAUAAUGAUUAAAACAACAUGGAACUCUUUCAAAGCCCUGUAGUUGGAAAGAGUCCACUUUAAAUCCUUUAAAGAGAAUCUAUUGCAGGGCAAGCCUGGUGCUGGCAGCCACAGUAAUCCCACUUUCAGUGUGGUGUGCUGAAUUUGUGGCCAUUAAAAUGCUUGUUCUUGGAUCUUAGGUGCUGCCAGGGUCCAUUGCAAGAAAGUCCAUGCCUCUUGCCUUUUGGUACCUUCCGGGCUCUUCCCUGAGUUUCCCUGGAGCUGAAGUGUGCACUUGAAGAAAAUUAGUGUUCAAAGUAGUGUGGGCUGCCUGGAUACUGCUGGUGGGAAUCAUGGAAUGGGAGUGUGGUUCUAUUUUGUUUGUGUCAAAACUUUGAGGAAGCUGAUUAAGCAGGGCAGUUGGGGCAUUAGUAUUGCACCGCUAGGACUCAAAUUCUGGGCCGGUAGUAAGACUGAUCAGAGUGAAAGCUUUUGCCAAGGAUGUUUUCAUUAACCAAGGAUGAAGGUGAAAGUAGGAAGUUUAAAGAAGUUCAGGUCCUGUGUAGUUACGAACAUAAAUGUGAUGUUGACCACUGCAUUAAUGCCCAUGACCCACUAGCAGCUUCCAGGAAACCCUUUGGGUUGUGGUAGGAGGAAGGUCUGUGUUCAAAGCUGAAUCUGAAAGGCAGCAGCAGUAGGGAUGGCAUAAUUCUACUCAACAUGAGCAACCUUACCUGCUUCCAGCACAGACAGGAUUGUCCCAUUGAUAGUUGUUCUGUGGAUGGGGGUGCAUGGCUUUUCUACUCGAUGAAGAGAUUUGACUGGUAGUUAAUCGAUAACCAGGAAGACUAGCAUGCUAACCAGUUAGGCGAGCAUUCAGCAUCCCCCAAUUCAGACAAAUGACAUUCAGCCAUCUGAGAUUGAGCAGUUAGACUCUGGAUCGCCCAACUGGUUAGCACACUAGUCUCCUUGGUUAUCUAGUCACCAGACGGAUCUCUCCACCAGCCUAGAAAAGGCAUGCACCCCCACCCACAGAAGAGUAGCCACAGGUCUGUGAUGCUCUUAAAUGCCUGGAACCACGCACCACACUGCUCUCAGCAUGUGCUCAUUUGAAUCUGAUGGGUGCCAGAGACCCAUUAAGUCCAUUAGUGAUGCGGAUCGGGAUUGUAGUAAUUCCUUGUUAAGGAAGAAUUCCCCGUGAGAGAGCAGGCCAAAAGUAUGCAUUAAGUUUCUGCUGAUUCUCCCUUGAUAGGCCACUA
rfam:Papio anubis isolate 1X1155 chromosome 6, whole genome shotgun sequence.